rnacentral:rRNA from 1 species
AGUGAACGCUGGCGGUAUGCCUAACACAUGCAAGUCGAACGGCAGCACAGUAAGCUCUUGCCUCUGCGGGUGGCGAGUGGCGGACGGGUGAGGCAUACAUCGCCAUCCUCUUUUUCGGGGGGGACAACGUAGGGAAACUUACGCUACUACCUCAUACUAUCUACGGCUGAAAUCAGGGGAUCUUCAGACCUUUCCCGUCUGUAUGAGCUGAUGCCGGAUUAGCUAGUUGGCAAGGUAAGGGCCCACCAAGGCAACGAUGCGUAGCUGGUCUGAGAGGAUGACCAGCCACACUGGAACUGAGACACGGUCCAGACUCCUACGGGAGGCAGCAGUGGGGAAUCUUCGGCAAUGGGCGAAAGCCUGACCCAGCAAUGCCGCGUGGGUGAAGAAGGCCUUCGGGUUGUAAAACCCUGUUGUUGGGGAAGAAAAGAAGCAGAAGAAAACGCGGCUGUCCUGACGGUACCCAAAGAAUAAGCAACGGCUAACUUCGUG